rnacentral:lncRNA from 1 species
UUUUUUUUUUUUUUUUUUUUUUUUUUUUUUUGGUAACACCUUAAAUGUAAUGUGUCCUGUUUGGAUUUAGUCACACUGAUGUGUAAAACAAACUAAUGUUUUUAUUCAUUUUAUAAAUGUUCUCUAAUUUUAAAUAAGAAUUCUCAUUCUACAGUUCAAACUGUCCUCUAGGAUGCACCAACUCUACUGCCAUGGGUUGGCGGUCCUCUCUUGUCGCUCAAGCUUACCUUACUCUCCUGUCCCAUUAACCUUGACUAUUUGCCAUAGUGCGUCAUCAUGGUAAGCUGUUCUAAGGCUUGCUUAAGCUCUGUAAUUUUUCUCUUGACUCUGACUUGACAAAUGUCACUUUUCUCUCAUGGAAUUGCUGCAUCUACUUGACCCAGGCAUGCAGAUUAUCUGAGCGGAGGCUGUGAUACUGAGAUUUAAACUUCACUCAUCAGUGCUCCAGAUUCCAAAACUUUCAACUCCCUGAUGGCUUCGAGUGUCUCUCAUUUGCAGGCCUCUAAAGAGCUUGCGCACCACUGGAAAGUACUAGUGGAUUAAGGAGCAGAAGUACUAAGCUCACCAAGUCUUUAGUGGCUCUGGCAUGUCUGAGUUUUAAUAGACUCUUAAGUGAAGACAGACCUGUAAAUCAGGGCACCCAAGGAACACUUGUGUUGCAACAAGCAGUGUAUUGUGACUGAAUUUUCAAUGGCCUGGCAUUCCUGCACACAAGAGCACAGUGGAUUUCAAUGGGAUCUUUGUGAUUCCACCAAAGGAAUCCUAAAGGAGCAGUUUCUCUCUGUGUGAAACUACAUGCAUUUUCAUAGAAGAUGGAGAGAUAAAAACACAUCUGGCAAGAUAUUAAAGUGAUAUAUAUAGACAAAAGGCUAAAGGGUUCAAAGGCUUUUUCUUUUCGUUUCCUCCCCCCUUUCUCUUUGAGCUCAAUUACCAUUUAAUGCCUUGGGUCCUAGAGGCCAAGAAUUUGACCAAACAGAGUAAUAAAGUUGACUCAGGAAAAAAAAAUCUUCAACGUGUCAAAGAGAAAGCAGAAAACUGUUCCUAGCCGUCUAACCUAUCCUGUUAGUGCUUGGUGUACCUUGAUAAAACAUUUUCUUUGUUCUUUAGGAAUUAGUUCUCAUUAGAUCAGGCAGAUUUUUGGAAAAAAAAUAACCUUUGUGAUUUUGUUUUCAUAGUAUGACACAGAUAUAUAUAUAUACAUAUAUAUAUGUAUAUAUAUACAUAUAUAUACAUAUAUAUAUACACACACAUAUACAUUUGUACUCUAUAUGUUUCAAAUGUAUUUUAGCUUUAAGUAUUCUUUAUUUCUUAAGUUUAUAUAUAUGAGGCUUUUGCUUGCAUUUAAUAUAUGCACCACAAGUGUGUGGUACUCCAGGAGACCAAAAGGUGUUGAAAGAUCCUUACAGAAUGUAAAAGGUCACAGAAGCCCUGAAAUUGGCAAGAUAGACGUCAGUGUUAGCAGAACUAGCUUCACUGAUUUAGAAAAAUAGAGGUGCACAAUGCUCUGGCCACUCCUUGAACCUGUGUGUCUGCAAUGUUCUGACCAGGUGUGUGCCCAUUGCUGCACCUUCAUUAGACUCUUUCCUUGUACCCCUCCCAUACCCAUUUCUUGAGAAUAGACAUUGUUUAGAUCUGGAAAUCCCCUAAUCUCCCCCUUCUCCUUUCCCCCCUGAGGGCCUAUAAAAUCUGGGAACUCUUUCCCCUCGAGGUCGACUCCUCUACCCCUGCGUGGGAUAUGAGUCGUCCCCAGAGCUCUGGUUUUCCUGAAUAAAGCCUCAUGUGGUUUGCAACAAGCUCGGUCUGUCGUGAGUUCUUGGGUGUCCACUAUUGUCCUGAGGCCUGAGCGAGGGGCUCCUCUCGGAGUCUCUCAGUGUCAGAAUCCUCUGGGACUGGACUUACAAAUGGUUGUCUGCUCCCUUGUGGGUGCUGAAAAUUGAACCCAGGUCCUUUGCAGGAGUGGCCAUUGCUUUUUACUGCUGGGCUGUCUCUCCAUUCUUAUAUUUAUUUUUAAUAUAUGUUUAAAUUCAGUUUCUCCUUUCAGUUUGUCCCCUAAUUUUUCAACAUAUUCACGUUGCAAUACUGCAUUUUUUACUAUAGUCUCUAUUUCAAAUGUACGUGUCAGUGUGAUUAUUUCCAUAAGAUUUUUUUUAACCAUUGAGGAUGAUUCUUUUGAUAAAUAUAUGUAAUUGAAGGAAAACUUUUUUUUUUCAGUUAAAAAGUGUUGCAAUUCGAAGUAUGGAAACAGAACUACGUCCUGUGUUGAGAACAGGGACAUCUGGGACCUGACAUUAGAUCUGUGGACAGGGUGAAGAAACCGACCUAGAGGAGAUAGUUGUCCUGGCAGCUCAUCCCUCAUAGUGUCACAGAUUUGCCUUGUCCUUGUAGGAAAUCAUCAAUACUGGAGUUUCCUUCAGGCAGGGGGGACUAGAGCCAGGGGAAUUCCAGCAGCUUUUGCAGAUCACCAAGAAGGGACUUAAUACUGUGCUUGGCCAGUCACUAUUGACUCAUAUUUAGUAUAAGACAAGGGUCAGUACUGGGAAAGAAAACAUACUGCUGAAUUACCCUGAGGGUCCUGCAUCCCAGAGCCCUCAUGAUAGCAGCAGAAAAGGGAUGAAUUUAGAAACAAGUGAAUCUUCCUUAGCACCC